rnacentral:snRNA from 1 species
ACAGCUGAUGCCGCAGCUACACUAUGUAUUAAUCGGAUUUUUGAACUUGGAGUACGGUUCUGGAGCUUGCUCCACCCUGCUCAUGGGUUGUCCUGGUAUUGCAUUGCCUCCAGGUUCGGUUCACGUUUC